rnacentral:rRNA from 1 species
GACGAACGCUGGCGGCGUGCUUAACACAUGCAAGUCGAACGGAAAGGCCCCUUUGGGGGUACUCGAGUGGCGAACGGGUGAGUAACACGUGAGUAACCUGCCCUUGACUUCGGGAUAACUUCGGGAAACUGGGGCUAAUACCGGAUAGGAAUCCUUGCUGCAUGGUGGGGGUUGGAAAGCUUCGGCGGUUUUGGAUGGACUCGCGGCUUAUCAGCUUGUUGGUGGGGUAGUGGCUUACCAAGGCUUUGACGGGUAGCCGGCCUGAGAGGGCGACCGGCCACAUUGGGACUGAGAUACGGCCCAGACUCCUACGGGAGGCAGCAGUGGGGAAUAUUGCACAAUGGGCGGAAGCCUGAUGCAGCAACGCCGCGUGCGGGAUGACGGCCUUCGGGUUGUAAACCGCUUUCAGCAGGGGCGAAGCUUGUGGUGACGGUACCUGCAGAAGAAGCACCGGCUAACUACGUG